rnacentral:lncRNA from 1 species
UUGCGACGCUCGUCCUCAUCAUCAUCCCCACCAAUUCAAGAAACCGAAUCCGGUGGUUGGCGGCGGCGCCGACGAAGGGAUCGAGGCUGUCCGGAAGAAGAUCAUGCUCGAUUUGAAGACGGCUGCCGAUAGGAUGAAACAGCAGAUUCUGAGGAAAGAAGUCGGCGUCGAGGAGGACGAGGAUGAGGACGUCGAACAAGGUCGCCGCGAGGAACGGCGGAGAUCCUCGCCGGAGGAAAGAAGUCGGUGUCGAGGAGGACGAGGAUGAGGACGUCGAGCAAGGUCGCCGCGAGGAACGGCGGAGAUCCUCGCCGCCGGCA